rnacentral:tRNA from 1 species
GCUCCUAUAGCUCAGUUGGUAGAGCGCGACACUAGUAGUCAUCUGCAGGUGGAAAGGUUGAGAAAUGUCGAGGUCUACGGUUCAAAUCCGUAUGGGAGCA